AAUGAAUUGCCUGACAAAAGGAUUACCUUGAUAGGGUAAACUAUGUAAACUAUAAAUUACAUUCAUUA
rnacentral:tRNA from 1 species